GGGUAUAACUCAACGGUAUAGUACGUGCUUAGCACGCAUGAGGUCCUGGGUUCAAUCCCCAGUACGUCCA
rnacentral:tRNA from 1 species